rnacentral:rRNA from 1 species
AUUGAACGCUGGCGGCAUGCCUUACACAUGCAAGUCGGACGGCAGCAUGGGCUUCGGCCUGAUGGCGAGUGGCGAACGGGUGAGUAAAGCAUCGGAACGUACCUUUUGGUGGGGGGAUAACGCGGCGAAAGUUGCGCUAAUACCGCAUAGUAUUCUGAGGAAUAAAGCAGGGGACCGUAAGGCCUUGCGCCAUGAGAUCGGCCGAUGUCGGAUUAGCUAGUUGGUGGGGUAAAGGCCUACCAAGGCGACGAUCCGUAGCGGGUCUGAGAGGAUGAUCCGCCACACUGGGACUGAGACACGGCCCAGACUCCUACGGGAGGCAGCAGUGGGGAAUUUUGGACCAAUGGGCGGAAGCCUGAUCCAGCCAUGCCGCGUGAGUGAAGAAGGCCU